UGGCCAUAUCACAUUAGAACACCAGUUCCCAUAUGAUCAUUGAAGUUAAGCAAGUUGAGCCUGGUCAGUACCUACAUGGGUGACCACUUGGGAAUAUUAGGA